rnacentral:rRNA from 1 species
UACGUAGGGGGCAAGCGUUGUCCGGAAUCAUUGGGCGUAAAGAGCGUGUAGGCGGACUUAAAGGUCUGGUGUGAAAGCCCGGGGCUCAACCCCGGAGGGUCACUGGAAACCAUAAGUCUUGAAUCUGGAAGAGGAGAGUGGAAUUCCUGGUGUAGCGGUGGAAUGCGCAGAUAUCAGGAGGAACACCAAUGGCGAAGGCAGCUCUCUGGUACAUGAUUGACGCUGAGACGCGAAAGCGUGGGGGAGCGAACAGG